rnacentral:lncRNA from 1 species
AGAAGAGUGGUCAACUUGCUUAGGAGAGGGAGUUUCCUUACCAAGAGUUCCCCCCACUGAUAUCUCUAGACCAAAAGCGGCAAUAAGGACCACUCUGCUAGACCUUUCAGUACCAUCGUUCAGUCAUCAGUAUGUUUGUGUACAAUAACUCCUAUAGAAGUGCUUGCCAGUGUAACAUUAUUUCUAAAGAUCAAGGGUCAUAGACAAGACUCCAACAAAGAGCAGGAUAAGAAUUAGCAUGCCGGCAGAAGAGAAGGAAGGGAAGCCAGAGGAAGUGCCUGUUCCUAGCACCGACUUCUCUGCAGCUAGUGGACAAAAAGCCCUUAUUCCCCCCUCCCCCCGCCCCAUCCCCACAGAUGUCCAAAAAUAAAUAAAUAAAUAAAGACAGG